rnacentral:rRNA from 1 species
GAUGAACGCUGGCGGCGUGCCUAAUACAUGCAAGUCGAGCGAACAGACGAGGAGCUUGCUCCUCUGACGUUAGCGGCGGACGGGUGAGUAACACGUGGAUACCCUACCUAUCAGACUGGGAUAACUUCGGGAAACCGGAGCUAAUACCGGAUAAUAUAUUGAACCGCAUGGUUCAAUGGUGAAAGACGGUUUUGCUGUCACUUAUAGCUGGAUCCGCGCCGCAUUAGCUAGUUGGUAAGGUAACGGCUUACCAAGGCAACGAUGCGUAGCCGACCUGAGAGGGUGAUCGGCCACACUGGAACGGAGACACGGUCCAGACUCCUACGGGAGGCAGCAGUAGGGAAUCUUCCGCAAUGGGCGAAAGCUUGACGGAGCAACGCCGCGUGAGUGAUGAAGGUCUUCGGAUCGUAAAACUCUGUUAUUAGGGAAGAACAAAUGUGUAAGUAACUAUGCACGUCUUGACGGUACCUAAUCAGAAAGCCACGGCUAACUACGUG